rnacentral:rRNA from 1 species
UACGGAGGGUGCAAACGUUGCUCGGAAUCAUUGGGCGUAAAGCGCACGUAGGUGGCUUGUUAAGUCGGGUGUGAAAUCCCUGGGCUCAACCCAGGAAGGGCACUCGAAACUGGCGAGCUUGAGUACUGAAGAGGGUCGCGGAAUUCCCGGUGUAGAGGUGAAAUUCGUAGAUAUCGGGAGGAACACCAGUGGCGAAGGCGGCGACCUGGGCAGAUACUGACACUGAGGUGCGAAAGCGUGGGGAGCAAACAGG